rnacentral:rRNA from 1 species
CCUACGGGGGGCAGCAGUGGGGAAUAUUGGACAAUGGGCGAAAGCCUGAUCCAGCCAUGCCGCGUGUGUGAAGAAGGCCUUCGGGUUGUAAAGCACUUUCAGUGGGGAAGAAAGCCUUGGGGCUAAUACCCUCGAGGAAGGACAUCACCCACAGAAGAAGCACCGGCUAACUCCGUGCCAGCAGCCGCGGUAAUACGGAGGGUGCGAGCGUUAAUCGGAAUUACUGGGCGUAAAGCGCGCGUAGGCGGUCUGAUAAGCCGGUUGUGAAAGCCCCGGGCUCAACCUGGGAACGGCAUCCGGAACUGUCAGGCUAGAGUGCAGGAGAGGAAGGUAGAAUUCCCGGUGGAGCGGUGAAAUGCGUAGGGAUCGGGAGGAAUACCAGUGGCGAAGGCGGCCUUCUGGAUUGACACUGACGCUGAGGUGCGAAAGCGUGGGUAGCAAACAGGAUUAGAUACCCUAGUAGUC